rnacentral:rRNA from 1 species
GAUGAACGCUGGCGGCGUGCUUAACACAUGCAAGUCGAACGGAAAGGCUCCUGCUUGCAGGGGUACUCGAGUGGCGAACGGGUGAGUAACACGUGGGUGAUCUGCCCUGCACUUCGGGAUAAGCCUGGGAAACUGGGUCUAAUACCGGAUAGGACGAUGGUUUGGAUGCCAUUGUGGAAAGUUUUUUCGGUGUGGGAUGAGCUCGCGGCCUAUCAGCUUGUUGGUGGGGUAAUGGCCUACCAAGCGUCGACGGGUAGCCGGCCUGAGAGGGUGUACGGCCACAUUGGGACUGAGAUACGGCCCAGACUCCUACGGGAGGCAGCAGUGGGGAAUAUUGCACAAUGGGCGCAAGCCUGAUGCAGCGACGCCGCGUGGGGGAUGACGGCCUUCGGGUUGUAAACUCCUUUCGCUAGGGACGAAGCGCAAGUGACGGUACCUGGAGAAGAAGCACCGGCUAACUACGUG